CCUACGGGUGACUGCAGUGAGGAAUAUUGGUCAAUGGGCGCGAGCCUGAACCAGCCAAGUCGCGUGAGGGAGGACGGCCCUACGGGUUGUAAACCUCUUUUGCCGGGGAGCAACGGGCGUCACGUGUGGCGCCACUGAGAGUACCCGGAGAAAAAGCAUCGGCUAACUCCGUGCCAGCAGCCGCGGUAAUACGGGGGAUGCGAGCGUUAUCCGGAUUUAUUGGGUUUAAAGGGUGCGUAGGCGGAUCGUUAAGUCAGUGGUCAAAUUGAGGGGCUCAACCCCUUCCCGCCAUUGAAACUGGCGAUCUUGAGUGGAAGAGAAGUAUGCGGAAUGCGUGGUGUAGCGGUGAAAUGCAUAGAUAUCACGCAGAACCCCGAUUGCGAAGGCAGCAUGCCGGCUUCCGACUGACGCUGAGGCACGAAAGCGUGGGUAUCGAACAGGAUUAGAUACCCCUGUAGUC
rnacentral:rRNA from 1 species